rnacentral:rRNA from 1 species
UGGGGAAUAUUGCGCAAUGGGCGAAAGCCUGACGCAGCGACGCCGCGUGAGGGAUGAAGGCCUUCGGGUCGUAAACCUCUGUCAGGAGGGAAGAACCGCGAGUAUGCGAAUAGUGUGCUCGUCUGACGGUACCUCCAAAGGAAGCACCGGCUAACUCCGUGCCAGCAGCCGCGGUAAUACGGAGGGUGCGAGCGUUAAUCGGAAUCACUGGGCGUAAAGCGCACGUAGGCGGCUUUGCAAGUCGGGGGUGAAAUCCCACCGCUCAACGGUGGAACUGCCUUCGAAACUGCAAGGCUUGAGUGUCGGAGAGGGUGGCGGAAUUCCAGGUGUAGGAGUGAAAUCCGUAGAUAUCUGGAGGAACACCGGUGGCGAAGGCGGCCACCUGGACGACAACUGACGCUGAGGUGCGAAAGCGUGGGUAGCAAACA